AAGUAGUGCAGUCGGACUAUUAGCAUGCACCAGAUAUGCUGUUUGUCUGUUUGCUAACAUUCUUCAUUCAAGACUUGUUAACUGCCAGACGAGCUUAACACGCUUCUCUCUGUCUCUUUCUCCCUCCCUGCUUCUCUGUCUUUCUUCGCCUUUCAUGCCAGCCCCUCGCAGCCUUCUGUCGUUGCUGGGUGCUGGUAGCCAAGGGGUAGUGGUGGCAGGAGGAACGCACGCUGCCGAGAAUCUGAAGCUAGUUGCUAGGAGCGAGGCUGCAAGGUGAACACAUUCGGGCAUCUGCCCCCUUUUUUCCACUGUGGCCCGGGAAAAGAGCUUCAGCAUCGACACAUGGACUCCAUGGGUAAAGAGCUGUCAGACACACGAGGCUGCAGCAGAAUGUGCAGGCCAGAACAGCACACCGUAGCAGUAUUUCUAUCCACUGUGGACGAAAUCUGGAAUAUCGGGAACAACAUCAAUGAACCCGAAAAAAGCAAACCGCAUUCCAGACGAAUAUAAGGAGAACUAAGAUGACUGGGGGGGAUUUCCAGAUAUCUCAGCGCUGACCUUACAUGACAUAUAAGAAGGUACAUGUGGUUUCCUUCCUUCCUUUUAUACUAGUUUCUGUUUAACUAUACAUAGUAAUGUUCACGUGUCCCUAUUGUUACAAAAGAGAUUUAAAAAAAAACAUGAUCCCAUGAUGACAGCUGCAGAUGUAGGUUAGAUGUAGCAGAGACCAAAUUUUGUGCAUUUAUAUCCCCCCGUCCUCCCUGCCUUUUCUGCCUACAUUAUUCUGUCCACACGUUCCAUAUUGCUCUGUACGAUGAGAUGUCUCCUUACUUCUGCUCCCUCUUCCCUCUCACAGCAUGCUGUCUCACACACAGUAGAAACUGCAGCAGCAUCUCCCUCCUCCCUGUCUACUAUCUACUGCGCUAUACUUGACGAAUUAUUGAUGCAGAUGAGCAAAUCGAUUCUAAAAAACAAAAUACAAAUUAUUUAACAUUCUUUUCAGGCAUAUACCAACAGGAGCAGGGACUCCUGUCUUUGACAGGAGCCUCUGCACCUCUACGCAUAUGCCUGAAAUGAACACUGAGAAGC